GGGCCCGCACAAGCGGUGGAGUAUGUGGUUUAAUUCGACGCAACGCGCAGAACCUUACCCAGGCUUGACAUCCUCGGAACCUGAUGGAAACAUCGGGGUGUCCCCUCACGGGGAAGCCGAGUGACAGGUGCUGCAUGGCUGUCGUCAGCUCGUGUCGUGAGAUGUUCGUUAAGUCCGGCAACGAGCGCAACCCCUGUCGUUAGUUGCCAGCAUUUAGUUGGGCACUCUAGCGAGACUGCCGGUGAUAAGCCGGAGGAAGGCGGGAUGACGUCAAGUCCUCAUGGCCCUUAUGGGCUGGGCUACACACGUGCUACAUUGGAUAAGACAAUGAGUCGCGAACCUGCGAAGGUUAGCAAA
rnacentral:rRNA from 1 species